GACGAACGCUGGCGGCGUGCUUAACACAUGCAAGUCGAACGGUGACCUCGAGAGCUUGCUCUUGAGUGAUCAGUGGCGAACGGGUGAGUAACACGUGAGUAACCUGCCCCAGACUCUGGAAUAACCCCGGGAAACCGGAGCUAAUACCGGAUACGAAGUGGAGCCGCAUGGCUACUACUUGGAAAGUUUUUCGGUCUGGGAUGGACUCGCGGCCUAUCAGCUUGUUGGUGAGGUAACGGCUCACCAAGGCGACGACGGGUAGCCGGCCUGAGGGGGCGACCGGCCACACGGGGACUGAGACACGGCCCAGACUCCUACGGGAGGCAGCAGUGGGGAAUAUUGCACAAUGGGCGAAAGCCUGAUGCAGCGACGCCGCGUGAGGGAUGACGGCCUUCGGGUUGUAAACCUCUUUCAGCAGGGAAGAAGCGAAAGUGACGGUACCUGCAGAAGAAGCACCGGCUAACUACGUGCCAGCCGCCGCCGUAAAAC
rnacentral:rRNA from 1 species